rnacentral:rRNA from 1 species
UGCUUGCACCUUUCAAGUGAGUGGCGAACGGGUGAGUAACACGUGGACAACCUGCCUCAAGGCUGGGGAUAACAUUUGGAAACAGAUGCUAAUACCGAAUAAAACUUAGUGUCGCAUGACACAAAGUUAAAAGGCGCUUCGGCGUCACCUAGAGAUGGAUCCGCGGUGCAUUAGUUAGUUGGUGGGGUAAAGGCCUACCAAGACAAUGAUGCAUAGCCGAGUUGAGAGACUGAUCGGCCACAUUGGGACUGAGACACGGCCCAAACUCC